rnacentral:lncRNA from 1 species
GGAGCGGAGAGAGACUGACGGCGGAGGCGGGGGUCAGGGCGCGGACCCGGACCCCAGCCCCAUGGGGGACAGAGUCCAAAAAAACCGGCCGGGUGGAGGAUGCAGCCGGGCGUGGUGGCUACAAGGAAGUGCCCUGGUGUUAAGAACUCAGCCUCUGAAACCCGCCGCCCAGCUUCGAGUCAGCGACGUACUUUUGUUGUCCCGGCCUUAGUAUCCCCGCUGCAAUAAGAGUGUAAGCUCCUAAAGGCAGAAAUCAAGCUGACCUAAGCAAAGACCUGAAGGAGCUAUGAGGACAUCUGGCAGAAGAGGCAAGAGGCUGGCCAGCGGCUAUAAACAAGUUAAGGGACUCCUCUGAGCCUCAACAUCCCAUCCCUGGAAUGGAGAGAAGGACGUCUGCCCUGCUUAUCUCAAAAGGACAUCGAUGAGAUCAUAGAAGCCCAAGCUGAGGUUACAUCUGAUGCUAAAAACUAGACGAGAAAGGGUCUGUCUGACCCUCAAGGUCAGCAAUGUGUGUGCAACUCCCCUCUCGGGGUCUGGGGACGCAGCCAUGUGUUCCAUCGCACACCAGGCUUUGGGGAUAUUGUAGGGCUCAGACCGCCGACUGCUAGUUUAUUAAAAGAGCAGCUGCCAUCCCGCCGCGCAGUGGGACAGAGAGCUGCAGCCCGGCGCAGGCUCGACCCCGCAGGGAACCGCGACCCGGGGAUAGGCAGCUCUGGACUGCACUGAUCUGGGACUCUGUCGGCUCUACAGACACACACACGCGCGCGCACACACACACACAUGCACACACGCACGCACACACACACGCACGCACAGCCGCUAGGCCUAGAGUUUAUUUUUCCAGGGGCUGGUGGGGACUCCGCUCCCGCGGCGGGCGGCGGCACUGGAAUGUUAAUUGAAACGGAGCUGGCGAGCGCGGCGCAGAUAAGCGUCGCCCAGCAGCGUCCCCGCCUGCGGCUCCCCGAAUCAGCGAUCCGGGAAGGCCCCGCCGCCUCUCUGGCCGCUGAGGGUUUUCUUUUCCACGCUGAAGGAGUGGAACGCGCGCGGAGGCAGCUCGGCGCCCGCAAACCCCCGGAGUCAGCCCCCGACGGUCUGUCCCAGAACUAAACGGUCUCCGCCACCCAAAGCCGAGAAGCUAAGAGGCCGGCUGGGGGAGGGUGACACGGAGAAAUGGAGAAGCCCACCCAGCGGUUACAUACCGGCAGAUUUUUAUUUCCUUUAACUGGUUGGUUCUUCUAAACAUUUAAUGCAAGAAAUCUCUCGGCCCGCUUCACUUUACUCUCCACCCAUGCUCUUCCCCUAACCCUGAGAAUUUUGCACAGAUUUUCGGGGUUCGCGCGGAGCGCCUCUGAAAGUGAUGGCGGACAAACCGUCAAAAAGGCCUCAGCAUAGCAAUUUAGGAAAAGAUCGUAUCAGAUCCUUAAUUCACACCAUACACUCUAAUACACUCGAAAGUAAGCAAAGAAAUUAUAACAAAUACCAGAAUAAAA